CCUACGGGCGGCAGCAGUGAGGAAUAUUGGUCAAUGGACGAGAGUCUGAACCAGCCAAGUAGCGUGAAGGAUGACUGCCCUAUGGGUUGUAAACUUCUUUUAUAAAGGACUAACACGAGGCACGUGUGCCUUUUUGCAUGUACUUUAUGAAUAAGGAUCGGCUAACUCCGUGCCAGCAGCCGCGGUAAUACGGAGGAUCCGAGCGUUAUCCGGAUUUCUUGGGUUUAAAGGGAGCGUAGAUGGGUUGUUAAGUCAGUUGUGAAAGUUUGCGGCUCAACCGUAAAAUUGCAAUUGAUACUGGCAGUCUUGAGUACAGUUGAGGUAGGCGGAAUUCGGGGUGUAGCGGUGAAAUGCUUAGAUAUCACGAAGAACCCCGAUUGCGAAGGCAGCUUACUAAACUGUGACUGACAUUAAUGCUCGAAAGUGUGGGUAUCAAACAGGAUUAGAUACCCCAGUAGUC
rnacentral:rRNA from 1 species